rnacentral:rRNA from 1 species
UACGAAGGGGGCUAGCGUUGUUCGGAAUUACUGGGCGUAAAGCGCACGUAGGCGGAUUGUUAAGUUAGGGGUGAAAUCCCGGGGCUCAACCCCGGAACUGCCUUUAAUACUGGCAAUCUCGAGUCCGAGAGAGGUGAGUGGAAUUCCGAGUGUAGAGGUGAAAUGCGCAGAUAUCAGGAAGAACACCCGUGGCUAAGGCGGCUCUCUAGUACGGUACUGACGCUGAGACGCGAAAGCGUGGGGAGCGAACAGG